GGGCCCGUGGCGGAAUUGGCAGACGCGGCGGACUUAAAAUCCGCUCCCCGGCAACGGGGGUGAGGGUUCGAUUCCCUCCGGGCCCA
rnacentral:tRNA from 1 species